rnacentral:rRNA from 1 species
AUUGAACGCUGGCGGCAUGCCUUACACACGCAAGUCGAACGGCAGCGCGGACUUCGGUCUGGCGGCGAGUGGCGAACGGGUGAGUAAUACAUCGGAACGUACCCUGUUGUGGGGGAUAACUAGUCGAAAGAUUAGCUAAUACCGCAUACGACCUGAGGGUGAAAGUGGGGGACCGCAAGGCCUCACGCAGCAGGAGCGGCCGAUGUCUGAUUAGCUAGUUGGUGGGGUAAAGGCCCACCAAGGCGACGAUCAGUAGCUGGUCUGAGAGGACGAUCAGCCACACUGGGACUGAGACACGGCCCAGACUCCUACGGGAGGCAGCAGUGGGGAAUUUUGGACAAUGGGGGCAACCCUGAUCCAGCAAUGCCGCGUGUGUGAAGAAGGCCUUCGGGUUGUAAAGCACUUUUGUCCGGAAAGAAAUAGCGCUGGUUAAUACCUGGCGUGGAUGACGGUACCGGAAGAAUAAGCACCGGCUAACUACGUGCCAGCAGCCGCAGUAA